CUGUAUGUGUUAUGCACUUUUUGAAUUUCCCGCCUCCAUCCCUGUGCAUUGCGUUGCUCGCAGGGAACGGAGCCCGGCAUACAGUACAUCAGGCAGAAGACACAGCCACCGCACACAGCGGGGAGACAUUGCAGGAUACAGGGGACAAGAUAAGUAACCUUCCCCUGCAUACUGCAUUGCAGCCCCGAGCGUGGCUCUGGGUUACCGCUCUUGGUAUGGAAAAUUCACCCUGAGCCAUAUUCUACAUUACCGCUAUGAAGGUUAAAUUAGUGAAUGUAGUAAAAAUUUAGUUGGUAAAGAAACUCCAAAUGUGUGUGAAGAUUCCAAUACAAAAUGAACAGCCUAUUUUCCUUUAGUAAAUCAUCUCCAAUGUCAGCUUAGACCGGAGUGUGAAUUUAAAUUUGCCAAUAAUUUAAGUGUUUGGAAGUAUAAAUAUAUACAGAAUAUUGAAAUUCAAGCUGUAAAUGUUGAUCAGUGCUGUUAGAGAAUAAAAGUAAGAACGAUUUGUCAUCUUAGCUAACUGUGCUUAAAGGGCACAUGUAAGGAAAGAAUUGUGUGAGCUGCAACUACUGACCUGUUUGUUAUGGUGAAUCCUCCAAAGUUGUCUUCCUGGCAUUAUAUCGCCUUACUAUGUUAUGGAAUCAUUAUCGAAUGCUGUAUUUUAUUCGUAUUGAUACUGUGAAUACCUUUAGAACUUAAGAUUCCUGAAAGUAUAGGGGAUGUUUUGGGUAAAAUGUUUUACACAAGUGCAGCUCUUGUGUAAAUGUGAUAGCUAUAACUAUGAAUUGUAAAGCCUGAAAUGUGUAAAAGGUCAUAGUUUUAUGUUGGUUUGGUCCUAUAAUUCAGUAAACUAGUGCAGUGCAUUCCAUGGCAUUUGUGCCCAAGCUGGCACUCUGUGUCAUUGACUGUAAUUUACAGCUCACAUAGGCUGACUGUUACACAUCCUGGCCCGCCCAUCUUCCUAAUGUUGUUGAAACACAUCGGCUUGCUGUGUGGACAAAUCCUGCUCACUUGCCUACAGCGGUACUCUAUAUUUCUGAAGGUAAAGGGUUUGGGGUUGAUCAGAGGCCUAUAAGUUAAGAGUUUGAGGCUCAUCUGAGGUCUGAAGUGAAUGCAGAUUGGCUGAUUUGAGGUGUGAAGUGCAUACAUUGGGCCUGAUCUGAGGUGUAAAGUGCAUACAUUUACACUUUAACUACUUGUUAGGUUGUAGGUGUACACCUACGACUUUGAAUGAUCUGUAUUCAUUGCUUUUAGAAUGUUAUCAAAAAAAAAAUCAAUUUUUUUUAUAAAUUUUCUCUUGAGUGAUAUUUCGUAUUCAGCACCUUUAAAAUCCCAUAUCUUGUAAUUUAUGUAUAUUCUAAUUCAGGGAUGUUGGUGCCAUAUAAUUUAUGAUUAUUUUUAUGCUGGUCUCUGCCCCCUUUAUUUGACAACAUUUUUUAGGGUGGAUAAUACACCCACGAUAUAUCCCUUGUGGUCAGACACCAGCAUUUAAAAACUUUCUGUAUACUGAGUUUUUCUAUUUUGCUUUUUUGUUUGUGCAUUUAUCAUUAUUGUUUAAUAAUAUGUAUAUAUAUUUUUGUACUUUUUUGCAUGGUAUUUCAUUCGGAGCACUUGUCACGUGUGAUUCCGCUAUUCACCCACUCGGGCUUGGAUUUUUUCCCUUUUCCAUCUUGAGGCAUUCCUGGGCUCUUUGGAUACAUGCAUUUGAUUGAUAGGAGAAUACACACCUGAGUCCCAUUAUCCACACAAGCUCCCACCGUGUUCAUAUUAUUUAAAGAUAGGAGUGAGGCACUCCAUGAAGUUCCUAUUUGUAUGUUACACACUACAUCCCUCCCUAUGGGAGAUCGGGCAACUUUUGGAUGGAGUUAAGUGGAGGGAUGAUGCUAUGUUCUGGGAGGAACUAUCUCAGUGUAUCAAUCUCCAUGCUUUACACUGAGGUAUAUAGUUUCUGUUUUGAUCUUUUUUUCCACCAGUCUGCAGCCUGGUAUCAUGCAUGCACACGCCACAUCUAUGCUAUAUUAUACUAUAUAUUUUUUUUGUUUAAUAUGUGUAUGUUAUAUCAUAAAUUUGUGUCUCAUUUUCUUAUCUACAACUAAAGUUGGAUAAAACUGUUUCUACAAAUACAAUAAAAGUGCCUUUCGCGUCCAGUCCUGAAGAAGCCUUAUUGGCGAAACUGUUGAAAAUAUGGACGCCACAUGAAACUGUAUAUGAAUAUAGUAGUUCAUUACUACUUGUUAGGUUGUAGGUGUACACCUACGACUUUGAAUGAUCUGUAUUCAUUGCUUUUAGAAUGUUAUCAAUAAAUCUUUUUUAUAAAU